rnacentral:tRNA from 1 species
UUCGAAGUAGCUCAGUGGUAGAGCAACCGGCGCUUAACCCGGUUGGACGCAGGUUCGAGCCCUGUCUUUGAAG